rnacentral:rRNA from 1 species
AACCUACCGCGCAGUGGGGGAUAACGCUGGGAAACUGGCGCUAAGACCGCAUGCGGUCACCGGUCGAUGAGAGCGGUGACGAAAGCAGAGAUGUGCUGUGCGCGGGGCCUGCGUCCGAUUAGCUGGUUGGUGGGGUAACGGCCUACCAAGGCGACGAUCGGUAGCUGGUCUGAGAGGAUGGUCAGCCACACUGGGACUGAGACACGGCCCAG